GCCUGCAUGGUAUAGUGGUUUGAUCAUUGGACUACAAUUCUGGCGGACAGGGGUCAAAUCCCUGCUCGAGCA